CACUAUCGUUAACUGAAUACAUAGGUUAACGAGGCGAACCGGGGGAACUGAAACAUCUAAGUACCCCGAGGAAAAGAAAUCAACCGAGAUUCCCCCAGUAGCGGCGAGCGAACGGGGAGCAGCCCAGAGUCUGAAUCAGCUUGUGUGUUAGUGGAACGGUCUGGAAAGUCCGACGGUACAGGGUGAUAGUCCCGUACACCAAAAUGCACAGGCUGUGAACUCGAAGAGUAGGGCGGGACACGUGGUAUCCUGUCUGAAUAUGGGGGGACCAUCCUCCAAGGCUAAAUACUCCUGACUGACCGAUAGUGAACCAGUACCGUGAGGGAAAGGCGAAAAGAACCCCGGCGAGGGGAGUGAAAAAGAACCUGAAACCGUGUACGUACAAGCAGUGGGAGCACCUUCGGGUGUGACUGCGUACCUUUUGUAUAAUGGGUCAGCGACUUAUAUUCUGUAGCAAGGUUAACCGUAUAGGGGAGCCGCAGGGAAACCGAGUCUUAACUGGGCGUUAAGUUGCAGGGUAUAGACCCGAAACCCGGUGAUCUAGCCAUGGGCAGGUUGAAGGUUGGGUAACACUAACUGGAGGACCGAACCGACUAAUGUUGAAAAAUUAGCGGAUGACUUGUGGCUGGGGGUGAAAGGCCAAUCAAACCGGGAGAUAGCUGGUUCUCCCCGAAAGCUAUUUAGGUAGCGCCUCGUGAAUUCAUCUUCGGGGGUAGAGCACUGUUUCGGCUAGGGGGUCAUCCCGACUUACCAACCCGAUGCAAACUACGAAUACCGAAGAAUGUUAUCACGGGAGACACACGGCGGGUGCUAACGUCCGUCGUGAAGAGGGAAACAACCCAGACCGCCAGCUAAGGUCCCAAAGUCAUGGUUAAGUGGGAAACGAUGUGGGAAGGCACAGACAGCCAGGAUGUUGGCUUAGAAGCAGCCAUCAUUUAAAGAAAGCGUAAUAGCUCACUGGUCGAGUCGGCCUGCGCGGAAGAUGUAACGGGGCUAAACCAUGCACCGAAGCUGCGGCAGCGACACGAUGUGUUGUUGGGUAGGGGAGCGUUCUGUAAGCCUGCGAAGGUGNUGCUGGAGGUAUCAGAAGUGCGAAUGCUGACAUAAGUAACGAUAAAGCGGGUGAAAAGCCCGCUCGCCGGAAGACCAAGGGUUCCUGUCCAACGUUAAUCGGGGCAGGGUGAGUCGACCCCUAAGGCGAGGCCGAAAGGCGUAGUCGAUGGGAAACAGGUUAAUAUUCCUGUACUUGGUGUUACUGCGAAGGGGGGACGGAGAAGGCUAUGUUAGCCGGGCGACGGUUGUCCCGGUUUAAGCAUGUAGGCUGGUUGUCCAGGCAAAUCCGGAUAAUCAAGGCUGAGGUGUGAUGACGAGGCACUACGGUGCUGAAGUAACAAAUGCCCUGCUUCCAGGAAAAGCCUCUAAGCAUCAGGUAACAUUAAAUCGUACCCCAAACCGACACAGGUGGUCAGGUAGAGAAUACCAAGGCGCUUGAGAGAACUCGGGUGAAGGAACUAGGCAAAAUGGUGCCGUAACUUCGGGAGAAGGCACGCUGGUGUGUAGGUGAAGCCCCUGCGGGUGGAGCUGAGACCAGUCGAAGAUACCAGCUGGCUGCAACUGUUUAUUAAAAACACAGCACUGUGCAAACACGAAAGUGGACGUAUACGGUGUGACGCCUGCCCGGUGCCGGAAGGUUAAUUGAUGGGGUUAUCCGUAAGGAGAAGCUCUUGAUCGAAGCCCCGGUAAACGGCGGCCGUAACUAUAACGGUCCUAAGGUAGCGAAAUUCCUUGUCGGGUAAGUUCCGACCUGCACGAAUGGCGUAAUGAUGGCCAGGCUGUCUCCACCCGAGACUCAGUGAAAUUGAACUCGCUGUGAAGAUGCAGUGUACCCGCGGCAAGACGGAAAGACCCCGUGAACCUUUACUAUAGCUUGACACUGAACAUUGAGCCUUGAUGUGUAGGAUAGGUGGGAGGCUUUGAAGCGUGGACGCCAGUCUGCGUGGAGCCAACCUUGAAAUACCACCCUUUAAUGUUUGAUGUUCUAACGUUGGCCCCUGACCGGGGUUGCGGACAGUGUCUGGUGGGUAGUUUGACUGGGGCGGUCUCCUCCCAAAGCGUAACGGAGGAGCACGAAGGUUAGCUAAUCCUGGUCGGACAUCAGGAGGUUAGUGCAAUGGCAUAAGCUAGCUUGACUGCGAGCGUGACGGCGCGAGCAGGUGCGAAAGCAGGUCAUAGUGAUCCGGUGGUUCUGAAUGGAAGGGCCAUCGCUCAACGGAUAAAAGGUACUCCGGGGAUAACAGGCUGAUACCGCCCAAGAGUUCAUAUCGACGGCGGUGUUUGGCACCUCGAUGUCGGCUCAUCACAUCCUGGGGCUGAAGUAGGUCCCAAGGGUAUGGCUGUUCGCCAUUUAAAGUGGUACGCGAGCUGGGUUUAGAACGUCGUGAGACAGUUCGGUCCCUAUCUGCCGUGGGCGCUGGAGAAUUGAGGGGGGCUGCUCCUAGUACGAGAGGACCGGAGUGGACGCAUCACUGGUGUUCGGGUUGUCAUGCCAAUGGCACUGCCCGGUAGCUAAAUGCGGAAGAGAUAAGUGCUGAAAGCAUCUAAGCACGAAACUUGCCCCGAGAUGAGUUCUCCCUGAGACUUUAAGUCUCCUGAAGGAACGUUGAAGACGACGACGUUGAUAGGCCGGGUGUGUAAGCGCAGCGAUGCGUUGAGCUAACCGGUACUAAUGAACCGUGAGGCUUAACCUU
rnacentral:rRNA from 1 species